rnacentral:rRNA from 1 species
AGAGUUUGAUCCUGGCUCAGGACGAACGCUGGCGGCGUGCCUAAUACAUGCAAGUCGAACGCUUUUUCUUUCACCGGAGCUUGCUCCACCGAAAGAAAAGGAGUGGCGAACGGGUGAGUAACACGUGGGUAACCUGCCCAUCAGAAGGGGAUAACACUUGGAAACAGGUGCUAAUACCGUAUAACAAUCGAAACCGCAUGGUUUCGGUUUGAAAGGCGCUUUUGCGUCACUGAUGGAUGGACCCGCGGUGCAUUAGCUAGUUGGUGAGGUAACGGCUCACCAAGGCAACGAUGCAUAGCCGACCUGAGAGGGUGAUCGGCCACAUUGGGACUGAGACACGGCCCAAACUCCUACGGGAGGCAGCAGUAGGGAAUCUUCGGCAAUGGACGCAAGCCUGACCGAGCAACGCCGCGUGAGUGAAGAAGGUUUUCGGAUCGUAAAACUCUGUUGUUAGAGAAGAACAAGGAUGAGAGUAGAAUGUUCAUCCCUUGACGGUAUCUAACCAGAAAGCCACGGCUAACUACGUGCCAGCAGCCGCGGUAAUACGUAGGUGGCAAGCGUUGUCCGGAUUUAUUGGGCGUAAAGCGAGCGCAGGCGGUUUCUUAAGUCUGAUGUGAAAGCCCCCGGCUCAACCGGGGAGGGUCAUUGGAAACUGGGAAACUUGAGUGCAGAAGAGGAGAGUGGAAUUCCAUGUGUAGCGGUGAAAUGCGUAGAUAUAUGGAGGAACACCAGUGGCGAAGGCGGCUCUCUGGUCUGUAACUGACGCUGAGGCUCGAAAGCGUGGGGAGCAAACAGGAUUAGAUACCCUGGUAGUCCACGCCGUAAACGAUGAGUGCUAAGUGUUGGAGGGUUUCCGCCCUUCAGUGCUGCAGCUAACGCAUUAAGCACUCCGCCUGGGGAGUACGACCGCAAGGUUGAAACUCAAAUGAAUUGACGG